GAAACAUUAGAUUGUGUUUAUUUAUUGUUUUUCCCCAAAAGUCCACAAGAUGUCUUUCACAGUCCUGCAUGUACAACCCCACACAGGGCAGGGCUUUAACAGUGACAGGAAAAAAUACACAAACAGUUUAAUAACACUUAAAUAUUGCUAUCUAUAUACUCUAAACCUUUUUUUUUUUGUUUCAAAUAAAGAAAUGACCACCUGUGUUCUUAAUGGGACAUUUCCAUAAACACUCAUUCGGACUCUUUCAGGAAGUUCGGGUUUCCGCCCGUGGUACAUUCGAGUGUUUCCUCACAGGCAGGCAGGCAGAAACAUGUGAUAAGUGCAGCAGACCAAACAAAGCACUGUCAAGUCAUAUAAGCAGCUAAAUCCAUAAAGCUACUCUGAGAUGAAGAUGGAAAACCUUCGUAGGAAACCUUUUUUUUCUUUUUAAACUGAAGCACAGAGGUGAUACAAAGCUAAGAAACAAUUCAGGCUAGUGAUUAUGCUUAAGAAAAGCUUAUCGGCAUCGAUAAUCGAAGUGUUUGGCUCCAAAAAAAUGCACAACAUUUGGAAAAAGUGACACUGACUUUUAAAGGCUGAUUAGCACGGCAUAAAUUAAUAGAAUAAAAUAUAAAAAAAUAGGUUAAUUAUAUUCCUUGGAUCACAAAAUGUAUUUUAAAAAAACACCUAGGAUCUCCUAUAAAUUGGAAAUACUGAAUGAUAAACUUGAUAAAGCGUUUUCAGAAAUGGUUGUGAGAUAUUUUGGAACCAAACUCUUCUUUAGUUACAUCCAACAUAAAAGGCCUUCUGGUAGGUGAUUUAUUUUGGUUGUACCACAGACUGAAACUCAUUUACAGUAUAGCAACAGAUGAUGAAUAGCAAAAAAAACAACAAACAAAAAACAAAA